rnacentral:rRNA from 1 species
GACGAACGCUGGCGGCGUGCUUAACACAUGCAAGUCGAACGGAAAGGCCCUGCUUUUGUGGGGUGCUCGAGUGGCGAACGGGUGAGUAACACGUGAGUAACCUGCCCUUGACUUUGGGAUAACUUCAGGAAACUGGGGCUAAUACCGGAUAGGAGCUCCUGCUGCAUGGUGGGGGUUGGAAAGUUUCGGCGGUUGGGGCUGGACUCGCGGCUUAUCAGCUUGUUGGUGGGGUAGUGGCUUACGAAGGCUUUGACGGGUAGCCGGCCUGGGAGGGUGACCGGCCACAUUGGUACUGAGGGACGGCGCAGACUCCUACGGGAGGCAGCAGUGGGGAAUAUUGCACAAUGGGCGGAAGCCUGAUGCAGCAACGCCGCGUGCGGGAUAACGGCCUUCGGGUUGUAAACCGCUUUCGCCUGUGACGAAGCGUGAGUGACGGUAAUGGGUAAAGAAGCACCGGCUAACUACGUG